UGCUCCUGCUCUCACCCCACACUCUGGUCUCCUCCUCGACAGGCAGCCUCUCCCUGGUCCUCGUCCCUCAAGAGAGCAGGCUGCCUGUCAGUGCCAUCCUGCAGUGGCAGGUGUCCCACUGUGGGAAGCCUGGGGAUGCAUGCCAUGCAAGGGAGAGGCAUGCCAUGCAAGGGAGAGGCAUCCCUGGAGGACAGGGGGCUCGGGCAGGUCUCGAGCAGGAAGGCAGAGCAGAGCUGGAGGCACCUGCAGCACUGAGGCCUGGGCACCCCAGCCACUAGUUCCAGUUCAGCCCCUGGCAAGCACCUGAAGUGAGCUGUGUGUGUGCUUUCUGUAACCUGGGUGAGGCUGGCCAGGCUGGAGUUCACUGACCUGGCCAAGAAAGGCCGAGGAGAGGCCCAGAGGACAUGUGAGCAGCAUACAGCAGAGGGCAGGAUGGAGAGGGGGUGGGGGAGCUGUGGCCCUGUCCUUCCAGACACCCCCAGGACAUGGCUGAAGCACCAGAGCUUGGAGACCUGGGGUGGCACGCCAGGGCUGGCCAGAGGCUGCGGCUGCAGCUCCAGCUGGUUGUGCAUGACCCCAAGUCUGCUCGUGGUCCUGUGCUGCCCGACCGUCCCUAGGCAGGGCAAGUGAUAGCUUUAGAGGGGAGAAACAUACACUUGCUGUGAGAGCCGGACCAGCCUCUGUGGGUGUGGGCAAGGCGUGAUGGGGUGCAGCAGAGGUUGGGGGAGAGGCAGCACCCACAGGGUCAUCAGGAGGUGUGAGGGGACAAGAAAAGGCGGGGAUCCAAUGGGAGUGGCCCAGAGUGUUGUCCAGAACACACAGACAAGGCUGAGAAGUGUGCCCCGUGGGUCAUGAGGUGGCUGCAGAGCUGUCACUCACCUGCAGAGCUGGGAAGAGAUGUGACGAGAGAGGAGAUGGACUGGCUCUCAGUGGACACAGACCUGGUGGUGGGGAGGGAGGAGCUUCCGUGUGCAGUGAUGGAGCUGGCUAGGAACACAGUAGUCUGCAGCCUGGUGGUACUCGGCUGUCUGGUGGUGAGGUUGGUGGCUGGAGAACUUGGGACGGCUGUCACCCCCAGUGUAGAAGACAGGAGGCCGUGGGUGGGGGUUUGGGUGGUGAGAGAGGUGGACUGGGCGGUGGUGGACUGAGAGGAUGGGACAGAGGAAGUGGGACUGCUGACCGUGGUCCGGGGUGUAGACAGGAUGACCGUACUAACAGUGGGGGCAGGGGACAGGGUGGGAGCUGAUGGAGGUGACAGGGAGGCCCUGAUGGGUGUGGAGGCGGCUGGGGAAGGGGGGCUGGUUGGCAGGGACGCUGUUUGUGACAUGGUCAGAGGUGCAGAGGGCGAGGGACUGUGUGGAGCUGAGCUGACGCUUGGGAUGCUGUGUGAAGUGGAGACUGCAGAAGGGGAAGGGGAAGACGAUAUCAAAGGAGAGGUGUUCGAGGACCCGUGAGGAGGAGGAGAGGAAACAGUGGGCAAGGAGGAGGGGAUUGGGACAGUGGAAGAAGAGGGGUAAUGGGGAAGAGUCGACACAGAAACAGAAGUGGUUAAAGGACUUUGGCUUGGGUUCAGAGAAGCUGGAGAAGACAAUGGAGAGCUGAAGCUAGAGCUUUGUAGUGGUGCUGUGCUGACUGAGCUCUGGGUUUGUGUGGUCCCUGUUGUGGUCUUUGUGAGUGGCAGGGUUGUGGGUGUGGUGCUCCCUAUUGUUGUUGUCAGCAGUGGGGAUAUGGAUGUGGGUGCCAUGGAUGUGACCGGGACGUGUGUCAAUGGCGUUGGGGUGCCAGUAGGCUUUGUGGUGGAGUAGGUAGCAUGGGACUCAGUUGGGGUGAUGACUUGGUGAGAGGUUGAAGUCACAGAUGUUGACACAUGGAUGGGAAGGGUCUCUGGAUGUGAUGGGGUGGAAUGGGUGGUGGUGGUCCGGAAGGAUGUUCCUGUUGGCAGAACUGUUGUGUGAGAGGUGGUGUGGACAGAAAAGGUGGCACUGGAGUGAGUGGUGAAUGGAGUGUGUGGCCCAGUGGGGGCAGCUGUUGUGUGUGUCACGGGUGUUCCAGUGCCUCUACUGGUAGAUGGAAGGGAGAUAGUACUGAGCAGUGGAGAAGUGCUUACAGGGAGGAUGGUUGAAGUAGAAUGUGAUAUUGGGGCUGUGGAGGUUGUUAUUGUGCUGACCAAGUUUUGGGCUUGAGUGGUCCCUGUUGUGGUCUUUGUCAGUGGUGGGACUGUAGGUGCAGUGGUCUUUGUCAGUGGUGUGGCUGUGGAUGUAGUGGUCUCUGUGGUGGUCUUUGUCAGUGGUGUGGCUAUAGGUGUGGUGGACCCUAUGGUGGUCUUUGUCAGUGGUGUGGCUGUGGUGGUUUCUGUUGUGGUCUUUGUCAGUGGUGUGGCUGUGGUGGUCUCUGCGGUGGUCUUUGUCAGUGGUGUGGCUGUGGUGGUCUCUGCGGUGGUCUUUGUCAGUGGUGUGGCUGUGGUGGUCUCUGUGGUGGUCUUUGUCAGUGGUGUGGCUGUGGGUGUGGUGGUCUCUAUCAGUGGUGUGGCUGUGGGUGUGGUGGUCUCUAUCAGUGGUGUGGCUGUGGGUGUGGUGGUCUCUGUCAGUGGUGUGGCUGUGGUGGUCUCUGUGGUGGUCUUUGUCAGUGGUGUGACUGUGGGUGUGGUGGUCUCUGUCAGUGGUGUGGCUCUGGGUGUGGUGGUUUCUGCUGUGGUGGUUGUCAGUGGUGUGCCUGUGGGUGUGAUGGUCUUUGUCAGUGGUGUGGCUGUAGUGGUGUCUGUGGUGGUCUUUGUCAGUGGUGGGGCUGUGGUGGGUUCUGUGGUAGUCUUUGUCAGUGGUGUGGCUGUGGUGGUCUCUGUGGUGGUCUUUGUCAGUGGUGUGACUGUGGGUGUGGUGGUCUCUGUCAGUGGUGUAGCUCUGGGUGUGGUGGUUUCUGCUGUGGUGGUUGUCAGUGGUGUGCCUGUGGGUGUGAUGGUCUUUGUCAGUGGUGUGGCUGUAGUGGUGUCUGUGGUGGUCUUUGUCAGUGGUGGGGCUGUGGUGGGUUCUGUGGUAGUCUUUGUCAGUGGUGUGGCUGUGGGUGUAGUGGUUUCUGUGGUGGUCUCUGUCAGUGGUGUGACUGUGGGUGUAGUGGUUUUUGUGCUGGUCUCUGUCAGUGGAGUGGCUGUGGAUGUGGUAGUUUUUCUGGUUGUCUUUGUCAGUGGUGUGCCUGUGGGUGUGGUGGUCUCUGUCAGUGGUGUGGCUGUGGAUGUGGUAGUUUUUCUGGUUGUCUUUGUCAGUGGUGUGGCUGUGGGUGUGGUGGUCUCUGUCAGUGGUGUGGCUGUGGGUGUGGUAGUCUCUGUCAGUGGAGUGGCUGUGGAUGUGGUAGUUUUUCUGGUUGUCUUUGUCAGUGGUGUGGCUGUGGGUGUGGUGGUCUCUGUCAGUGGUGUGGGUGUGGGUAUGGUGGUGGUUGUCAGUGGUGUGCCUGUUGGUGUGGUGGUUUCUAUGGUGGUCUUUGUCAGUGGUAUGGGUGUGGUGGUCUCUGUUGUGGUCAUUGUCAGUGGUGUGGCUGUGGGUGUGGUGGUCUCUGUCAUUGGUGUGGCUGUGCUGGUUUCUGUGGUGGUCUCUGUCAGUGCUGUGACUGUGGGUGUAGUGGUUUCUGUGGUGGUCUCUGUCAGUGAUGUGCCUGUGGGUGUAGUGGUUUCUAUGGUGGUCUCUGUCAGUGGUGUGACUGUGGGUGUGGUGGUUUCUGUGUUGGUCUUUGUCAGUGGUGUGGGUGUGGUGGUCUCUGUUGUGGUCAUUGUCAGUGGUGUGGCUGUGGGUGUGGUGGUCUCUGUUGUGGUCUCUGUCAGUGGUGUGGCUGUGGGUGUGGUGGUCUCUGUCAGUGGUGUGACUGUGGGUGUAGUGGUUUCUGUGGUGGUCUCUGUCAGUGGUGUGACUGUGGGUGUAUGGGUGGGUGUGGUGGUCUCUGUUGUGGUCUUUGUCAGUGGUGUGAUUGUGGGUGUGCUGGUUUCUGUGAGUGGUGUGGCUGUGGUGGUUUCUAUCAGUGGUGUGAUUGUGGGUGUAGUGGUUUUUGUGGUGGUCUUUGUCAGUGGUGUGGGUGUGGUGGUCUCUGUUGUGGUCUUUGUCAGUGGUGUGGCUGUGGGUGUGGUGGUCUUUGUCAGUGGUGUGACUGUGGGUGUGGUGAUCUUUGUCAGUGGUGUGGAUGUUGUGGUUUCUGUCAGUGGUGUGUCUGUGGGUGUGGUGCUCUCUAUUGUAGUCUCUGUCAGUGGUGUGACUGUGGGUAUGGUGGUGGUUGUCAGUGGUGUUCCUGUGGGUGUGGUGGUUUCUGUGGUGGUCUUUGUCAGUGGUGUGCCUGUGGGUGUGGUGGUCUCUGUUGUGGUCUCUGUCAGUGAUGUCACUGUGGGUGUAGUGGUUUUUGUGGUGGUCUUUGUCAGUGAUGUGACUGUGGAUGUGGUGGUUUCUGUCAGUGGUGUGGCUGUGGGUGUGGUGGUCUUUGUCAGUGGUGUGGCUGUGGGUGUGGUGGUCUCUGUCUGUGGUGUGGGUGUGGUGGUUUCUGUCAGUGGUGUGGGUGUGGUAGUCUUUGUCAGUGGUGUGACUGUGGGUGUGGUGGUCUCUGUUGUGGUCUCUGUCAGUGGUGUGACUGUGGGUGUGGUGGUUUCUGUCAGUGGUGUGACUGUGGGUGUGGUGGUCUCUGUUAUAGUCUCUGUCAGUUGUGUGACUGUGGGUGUAGUGGUUUUUGUGGUGGUCUUUGUCAGUGAUGUGACAGUGGAUGUGGUGGUUUCUGUCAGUGGUGUGGCUGUGGUGGUCUCUGUCAGUGGUGUGGCGGUGGGUGUGGUGGUUUCUGUGGUGGUCUCUGUCAGUGGUGUGGUGGUUGGUGUGGUGGUCUCUGUAAGUGGUGUGGCUGUGGGUGUGGUGGUCUUUGUCAGUAGUGUGACUGUGGGUGUGGUGGUCAUUGUCAGCGGUGUGGCUGUGGGUGUGGUGGUCUCUGUUGUGGUUGUUGUCAGUGAUGUGACUGUGGAUGUGGUGGUCUCUGUCAGUGGUGUGGCUGUGGGUGUGGUGGUCUUUGUCAGUAGUGUGACUGUGGGUGUGGUGGUCAUUGUCAGCGGUGUGGCUGUGGGUGUGGUGGUCUCUGUUGUGGUUGUUGUCAGUGAUGUGACUGUGGAUGUGGUGGUCUCUGUCAGUAGUGUGACUGUGGGUGUGGUGGUCAUUGUCAGCAGUGUGGCUGUGGGUGUGGUGGUCUCUGUUGUGGUUGUUGUCAGUGAUGUGACUGUGGAUGUGGUGGUCUCUGUCAGUGAUGUGACUGUGGGUGUGGUGGUCUUUGUCAGUGGUGUGGCUGUGGGUGUCAUGGUCUUUGUCAGUGGUGUGGCUGUGGGUGUUGUGGUCUUUGUCAGUAGUGUGACUGUGGGUGUGGUGGUCAUUGUCAGCGGUGUGGCUGUGGGUGUGGUGGUCUCUGUUGUGGUUGUUGUCAGUGAUGUGACUGUGGAUGUGGUGGUCUCUGUCAGUAGUGUGACUGUGGGUGUGGUGGUCAUUGUCAGCAGUGUGGCUGUGGGUGUGGUGGUCUCUGUUGUGGUUGUUGUCAGUGAUGUGACUGUGGAUGUGGUGGUCUCUGUCAGUGAUGUGACUGCGGGUGUGGUGGUCUUUGUCAGUGGUGUGGCUGUGGGUGUCAUGGUCUUUGUCAGUGGUGUGGCUGUGGGUGUGGUGAUCUCUGUCAGUGGUGUGGUGGUGGUGGUUUCUGUGGUGGUAUCUCUCAGUGGUGUGGCUGUGGGUGUGGUGGUCUCUGUCAGUGGUGUGACUGUGGUGGUUUCUGUGGUCGUCUCUGUCAGUGGUGUGGCUGUGGAUGUGGUCUUUGUCAUUGGUGUGGCUGUGGAUGUGGUUUCUGUCAGUGGUGUGGCUGUGGGUGUGGUGGUUUCUGUGGUGGUCUCUGUCAGUGGUGUGGUUGUGGUGGUUUCUGUGGUGGUCUCUGUCAGUGGUGUGGCUGUGGGUGUGGUGGUCCCUGUGGUGGUGGUUGUCAGUGGUGUGGCUGUGGGUGUGGUGGUCCCUGUGGUGGUUGUCAGUGGUGUGACUGUAGGUGUGGUGGUGGUAGUCAGUGGUGUGGCUGUGGGUGUGAGCACUGUCUCUGUGACAGGGGUGUGUGUUGAUAGAGAAGGGGUGCCAGUUGUCUUUGUGGUGGAGAAGGUGGUGUGGGACUCGGUCGGGGUGAUAACCUGGUGAGAGGUUGGAGUCACUGAGGAGGUGGCCGAUGUUGACACGUGGACAGGAAGGGUCUCUGGAGGUGGUGGGGUUGGGUAGGCUGUGACUGUGGGUGUGGUGGUCUCUGUCAGUGGUGUGGCUGUGGGUGUGGCUGUGGGUGUGGUGGUUGUGGGUGGAGUUGAUGUCUGGGGUGUGGUGGGGACAGGGAGUGGAAGGGUGGUGCUGGAGUGGGUGAUGGGCAUGGCCGUGGAGGGAGGAGCCGGUGUGUUGGGGCUGGCGCUGCCCUCGGCCCCAGUGGUGGGGGCCGUUGGUCUCAGGCCCGUGUGUGCUGUGCUGGGCCCUGUGGUGCCCUCUGGCGGUCGUGGGGGCUCCGUGCGCUGUGUCUCCUGGCUGAUGGGAGUUUCGGGGGUCCAUCGAUGUGUUGAGGAUGCUGUUGAAAGCAGGGCGUCAUUUCACUCCCUCCCCCUCGUACCCUGCUUUGGGGUCG
ensembl:lncRNA